CUCUAUCCCUCGCCCGGGGCCGCCCUCCCUGCCGCUCCCUUAGGGGCUCUGCGACACCCGCCUCCGGGGGCGCCCCGCCCCCCGCCGCGCGUGCCUGGUUACGACAUGGCGCUAACGGCCCCUCCGGCCCGCCGAGCUCUGUUUUCUGCGGCGGCUUCGCUACUGCUGCUGGGGGCGGCGGCAGGAAGCUCUCAUUUCUUGGAUAAGACUCAACUCACAAAGAAAGGAGAUGCACACUUGAAACAAGAAGGUAUAAUUAGAAUGCACAACUCAGUGGCUCUCUCUGAACCCAUGAAAAUAACAUCUAUCCCAGAUGUUCCACAAACACCUCAUCAAAUACUUGGAAAAGAAAACUCCACUGAUCCCUGUGAAAGUUCCGACUGUGAAAAUUCCUUCAACUGUAUCAAAAAGGUGGAAUUAUUCAUUAGCAAUAUGAAAAUAUAUUUUUAGAAAUUUGAUCCAUGUUUACAUUUCUGUCCUCGUGUCAUUGUAUUAAAAGCCUGUAUAGUUAAGGAACUUUGCAUGCAAGAAUAAAUGUGAUAGAAAACCGUAUUGUCA
rnacentral:lncRNA from 1 species